rnacentral:rRNA from 1 species
GUGCCAGCCGCCGCGGUAAUACCGGCAGCCCGAGUGAUGGCCGAUAUUAUUGGGCCUAAAGCGUCCGUAGCUGGCCGAACAAGUCCGUCGGGAAAUCCACGUGCUUAACGCGUGGGCGACCGGCGGAAACUGUUCGGCUUGGGGCCGGAGGACCCGAGGGGUACGUCCGGGGUAGGAGUGAAAUCCCGUAAUUCUGGACGGACCACCGAUGGGGAAACCACCUCAGGAGAACGGAUCCGACAGUGAGGGACGAAAGCCAGGGUCUCGAACCGGAUUAGAUACCCUGGUAGUCC